GUAGGUGGCAAGCGUUGUCCGGAAUUAUUGGGCGUAAAGCGCGCGCAGGCGGUUCUUUAAGUCUGAUGUGAAAGCCCACGGCUCAACCGUGGAGGGUCAUUGGAAACUGGAGAACUUGAGUACAGAAGAGGAAAGCGGAAUUCCACGUGUAGCGGUGAAAUGCGUAGAGAUGUGGAGGAACACCAGUGGCGAAGGCGGCUUUCUGGUCUGUAACUGACGCUGAGGCGCGAAAGCGUGGGGAGCAAACAGGGAUUAGAUGCCCUGGUAGUCCACGCCGUAAACGAUGAGUGCUAAGUGUUAGGGGGUUUCCGCCCCCCUUAGUGCUGCAGCUAAUGCAUUAAGCACUCCGCCUGGGAGUACGGCCGCAAGGCUG
rnacentral:rRNA from 1 species